AUGAAGAACGUAGCGAAAUGCGAUAAGUAAUGUGAAUUGCAGAAUUCAGUGAAUCAUCGAAUCUUUGAACGCACAUUGCGCCCGCUGGUAUUCCGGCGGGCAUGCCUGUUCGAGCGUCAUUUCAACCCUCAAGCUCUCCGGAGUUUGGUGUUGGGGCGCCUGGGGCUUUUCGACCUCAGGGCCCUCAAGUCCAUCGGCGGGACCGCCAGGACACUGAGCGCAGUAGUAUUAUUUCGCUCGGUAGGAUCUUCCACGGCGGGUCGAUCUGGCCGCUAAACCCCCCAAUUCUCACCAAAGGUUGACCUCGGAUCAGGUAGGAAUACCCGCUGAACUUAAGCAUAUCAAUAAGCGGAGGA
rnacentral:misc_RNA from 1 species